GAUGUUGUUUCUCCAUGUCAAAAUGUAUUAAUUGGCUGCUAUAUGAAACAUGUCUAUUUUUUCCUCUAAUUAUUUCUAUUUUAACUAAUAUCUUACUCAUUUUUAAAGUACAUGAUGAUUUGUUGUUGACUUGCAUACAAAAGAAGAGAAGUUUAUUUACUAUGUGUAGUUCUUGUUUGUGUGAACUCUUAAUCAUUUUCUAUUUAUUUCAGGUUCUUCAUAACAUUGCUAUUGCAGAAUACUUUCACUGGAAUAUGCUACGAAACCUUGCUGGCAUCUAUUAUGAACAAAGUCAUCUUGACAUGGCAAUUAUGCAUUACAAGCAAGCUAUCAACUGUGAUUCUACCUUUAUUGAAGCUUACAAUAAUCUGGGGAAUGCUCUCAAAGACGCUGGGCAUGUGGAAGAGGCUAUCAACUUCUAUAGGUCAUGCCUUGCUUUACAACCUAACCAUCCACAAGCAUUCUCAAGCCUUGGCAACAUAUACAUGGACUGGUAAGCU